UGUUCAGUGCAGUGCGUGUCCGUGACUGUACUGAGACUCUUAAGAGAGCUCGCUUACAGAUUGUUCUGAAAUAUCUAGUUAUUAGCCUCGGAAAUCGAGUUUAUUCUUUAUUGUUUUGAUUUGUGGAGAGUGUGGAGAUGUUGAGGGCGGUUGUGCUGGCGAUCCUGUGCUGCGUUCAUGCGGCGUCUGCUGCAGGAACCCACUCCCUGCGGUAUUUCUUCAUGGGGUUCUCAGAGGGGACGGGGCUCCCUGAGUUUAUGACGAUGGGGAUGCUGGAUGAUGAGCAGAUUGAUUACUACGACAGUGUCAUGAAGAAGAUGGUCCCCAAACAGGACUGGAUGGAGAGAUCUGAGGGUCCGGAGUACUGGGAGAGAGAGACUCAGGGAGCUGUUGGGACACAGCAGAGUUUCAAAUUGAAUAUUAGAAUCGCAAUGCAGCGCUUCAACCAGACUGGGGGAGUUCACACUCUCCAGAGAAUGUACGGCUGUGAGCUGGAUGAGGACGGGACCAAGCGGGGGUUUUUUCAGGACGGAUUCGAUGGAAAGGAUUUCCUCAGCUUCGAUAAGGACACUCUGACCUGGACCGCCCCUGUGAUGCAGGCUGUCAUCACUAAACACAAGUGGGAUGCUAACAGAGCCGGGAAUCAGUACUGGAAGGGCUAUCUGGAGACAGAGUGUAUCGAGUGGCUGCAGAAGUACGUCCAGUACGGGAGGGAGACUCUGGAGAGGAGAGUUCCUCCUGCAGUGACUCUGCUCCAGAGGAAAGCUCAUGGAUCUGCAGACACGGAGGUCCUGUGUCAUGUGACAGGGUUCUUCCCCCGCGCUGUGGAGGUGACCUGGGUCAGAGACGGACGGGAUCAUCUGGAGGAGGGGGUGCAGAGUGGGGAGGUGCUUCCCAACCAGGACGGGACCUACCAGCUGAGAAAGAUCCUGACAGUGAGCCCUGAGGAGCAGAGAAGACACAUCUACUCCUGCCAGGUGGACCACGUCAGCUUCACUGAGAAACAGAACUACAUCUGGGAUCCCAACAUGAGAAGCAACAGCGAGGAUAAUGAGGUGACUGGGUGCAGGUGCAGCUCCUCUAUUCGGCUCGUUGUUGGAGGGGUGGGUGUACUGGCUCUGGCUGCAGCGGUCAUUGGAGUGGGGAUCUAGAAGAGGAGACAAGGAGCGUCCCUCUGUGUGUCUGCAGUGUCAGUGAGUCUCCAGUGCUGUGUCUCUGCUCCACAGCGUCCCUCUGUGUGUCUCCAGUGUCAGUGAGUCUCCAGUGCUGUGUCUCUGCUCCAUGCUGUGUCUCUCUGGUCAUGUUGUUGUUUAUUUCAGGAGAGUGACUCCACUGCAGAGAGAAUCAGCGACUCUGCAGAGAUUUCAUCUUUUAAAAUCCUUCAUACGCAAUACUGCUUUAUAGUUUGAUUUGAUUCCACUCAUUGCAACUGUGCAAGCCAGUAGACAAGGAACCUGCCUCAAAAUCAACUGAGUGAAUCAGCAAACAACACAAAUGACACAAUGAGAGGAACAAGAACAUGGAUUUCUACAACAUGAUAUUAUAAUGGGAUACAGCAAGAUGACCCGUUUAACAAGGAGCUGUCCUAUCCAUGCAGGGCUAUUGUAGAAACACUAACACUCACUAGUGUAAUUUAUUAAUUCAUUAUCAAGACAUUAGUAAAUUGUUCUUGUGGAAUGUUUGUCAAAGUACAGUCAAUUCUCAUUGAAACAAACUUGUAUUGAAUUAAUUUCCUCAUACUACGAAUGUUCUGCAUGGUCCCAGACAGGUUUAGCAGUCUCUUAUUGUAAAUCACUCAAUAAAUAUUGCACCACUGUCCCAGACAAAGAAAGAUGUUGCUGCAGAUUUCAACAUUCCUGCAAACACUUUCUCAACCAUUCUGAAAAACCAGGAUCAGUAAUAUACUGCAGUCUGAAUCUGGAAUCACUGUGAGACACACCCUGAGGAAUGAGCACAGCAGCUGGGACAUGCACAUUUCAACCUCAGUUCAUUUGCAAAGUAUACUCACAAGUGCACAGUACUUUUACAUUUAUAAUACUUUUCAUUGUACUGUAAUUGUAAUUUGAUUUCAGCCUUACUGUAACUUCAGUAAAACAUUAUGCAUUUGGCUUAGACCCUUGAUAAUCAGAAUUACAGAUGAGACACAUUUGUUUUGCUGGUCCCUUGUUUUGUAUUGAUGUGAGUUGAAGUUUGUAUUGAUUGUUGAAGUUUGUAUUGAUUGAAGUUUGUAUUGAUUGUUGAAGUUUGUAUUGAUUGUUGAAGUUUGUAUUGAUGAGAGUUGAAGCUUGUAUUGAUUGUUGAAGUUUGUAUUGAUGAGAGUUGAAGUUUAUAUUGAUGAGAGUUGAAGUUUGUAUUGAUUGUUGAAGUUUGUAUUAAUGACAGUUGACUGUCUUCUCUUUUAGCAUUGCUGCAUGUAUCUUGUUUAAGGCAGACACUGAGUCCGAGUGAGUCGGUGUCUUCACUUCAGUUUGAAAUGUUGCAGUUCCCUUGUCUACUGGUCCGGCUUUGUUUAUUUACCAUGUUGAUGUUUUUUUCAGUCAGAAUGUGCUUUUGACAAUACUUAAGGAGACGAGAUUUUUAAGUCCUAAAACUGGAACAGUAUAGAAAUAUUGUGAAUAACUUCCAACUUCCAUGGUUGGAAACGCCCUCUGCACUGAAGGCAGACAUGCUACAGUUCUGCUAAAGGUUUUUUUUUUCAUUAUUAUUUCCACCGAUGGUGAUAUUCAAAGUGGAAGCUUUUACUGUCAAAACUUUUUUGUGUGAAUAAAUGAUCUUAUUGUC